rnacentral:rRNA from 1 species
AUUGAACGCUGGCGGCAUGCUUUACACAUGCAAGUCGAACGGUAACAGGUUAAGCUGACGAGUGGCGAACGGGUGAGUAAUGCAUCGGAACGUGCCCGAUCGUGGGGGAUAACGCAGCGAAAGCUGCGCUAAUACCGCAUACGAUCUGAGGAUGAAAGCGGGGGACCGUAAGGCCUCGCGCGAUCGGAGCGGCCGAUGUAAGAGUAGGUAGUUGGUGGGGUAAGGGCUCACCAAGCCAACGAUCUGUAGCUGGUCUGAGAGGACGACCAGCCACACUGGGACUGAGACACGGCCCAGACUCCUACGGGAGGCAGCAGUGGGGAAUUUUGGACAAUGGGCGAAAGCCUGAUCCAGCAAUGCCGCGUGCAGGAAGAAGGCCUUCGGGUUGUAAACUGCUUGUGUACGGAGCGAAAAGGCUCUCUCUAAUACAGGGGGCUCAUGACGGUACCGUAAGAAUAAGCACCGGCUAACUACGUGCCAGCCGCCGCCGUAA